AGUGACACUAAAAUAAAGUAAUUCCUGCUCAGUGAAAAUUAACAGCCGCAGAAUUUUAUACUGUGCUAAGGUAGCAUAAUCACUUGUCUUUUAAUUAAAGAAUAGAAUGAACGGAAAAACGAAUUUUAACCUGUCUCAUUUUUUUUUAAUAAAAUUACCAUAAAGUAAAAACACUUUUAAAAAAAAAAAAGACGACAAGACCCUACAAAACUUUACUAAAGUUAAGCUGGGGCGGCCUUUUAAAAAAAUCUUAUUUUAUAUUUUUCUCACCUUACUCAAUUAUUCAAUGUUACCUUAGGGAUAACAGCAUAAUCUAAUUUUAUAGCUCUUAUUCAAAAUUAAGAUUAUGACCUCGAUGUUGAAUUAAAAAUCUACCAAACGAAAAAAAUUAGUUAGAAAGUCUGUUCGACUUUUAAAUAUUUACAUGAUUUGAGUUCAGACCGGUGAAAACCAGGUCGGUUUCUAUCUUUUUCAAAUUUUUAUCAGUACGAAAGGACCAUAAAAACUAUUU
rnacentral:rRNA from 1 species